CAUGUAUUCAGACUCGUAGCAUCGAAAAGGACGGGCAGUAGGUCAAUAUAAAAAUAAUCAUGAGUGACAAACCAGACGUUUCUGAAGUCAUGCAAUUUGACAAAAGCAAGCUGAAGAAGACAGAGACCCAAGAAAAGAACCCCUUGCCAACAAAAGAAACCAUUGAACAGGAGAAAUCCGGGUAGUGUGGGAAGCCAG